GAUGAAGAACGCAGCGAAAUGCGAUACGUAAUGUGAAUUGCAGAUCUCUCAGUGAACCAUCGAAUCUUUGAACGCACAUUGCGCCCGCCAGUAUUCUGGCGGGCAUGCCUGUCUGAGCGUCAUUUCAACCCUCAUGCCCCUAGGGCGUGGUGUUGGGGAUCGGCCAAAGCCCGCGAGGGACGGCCGGCCCCUAAAUCUAGUGGCGGACCCGUCGUGGCCUCCUCUGCGAAGUAGUGAUAUUCCGCAUCGGAGAGCGAUGAGCCCCUGCCGUUAAACCCCCAACUUUCCAAGGUUGACCUCAGAUCAGGUAGGAAUACCCGCUGAACUUAAGCAUAUCAAUAAGCGGAGGA
rnacentral:misc_RNA from 1 species